UGUAAACCAGACACUGUCUGGAAGCUGUAAACCAGACACUGUCUGGAAGCUGUAAACCAGACACUGUCUGGAAGCUGUAAACCAGACACUGUCUGGAAGCUGUAAACCAGACACUGUCUGGAAGCUGUAAACCAGACACUGUCUGGAAGCUGUAAACCAGACACUGUCUGGAAGCUGUAAACCAGACACUGUCUGGAAGCUGUAAACCAGACACUGUCUGGGAGGUUGUAAACCAGACACUGUCUGGGAGGUUGUAAACCAGACACUGUCUGGGAGGUUGUAAACCAGACACUGUCUGGGAGGUUGUAAACCAGACACUGUCUGAAAUCAGUUGAAGAUUGG